GCCAAUGUGGUACAGUGGUUUGCAUGUUAGACUAUGAUUCUGGAGACCAGAGUUUGAAUCCCAGCUCAGUCA